AAGAACCGUCGACCCAAUACCGGAAGAGAGCACACUCUACAAGCUUAACGUAACGAGUAUAUCACAUGUUGUAACCUUUGGGUUUAAGAAUGACUUUAUUCUCGUCCAUAAUUACUUUAUUCUUGUAAGUAAUGACUUUAUACUCGUCAAUAAUGACUUUAUUCUCUUAAAUAAUGGCUUUAUUCGCGUUAAUUAUUACGUUAUCCUUGUUAGAAAUGACUUUAUUCUCGUAAAUUUACGACCUCAAUAUCAGUCAUAUUUUUUUCUCAAUAUGACUUAAUAAUUCGUCAUAUAUAUUAUAUUAAAUUAUAUUAUAUUAUAUUACUUUACUGCCAUACGAAACACCCUAUAUUGUUUUCCUUUUGUAUACAUUAUGUUACAGUUUUACCACACUGGGAUGUAUUUGUAAUCAAACUAUGUCUAGUAUGAUUUAUAGUAUAAUGUGUCAUGUUAUCCCAUUAGUUUUACCUGCCACUUAUCUCAUAAUAUGUCCUUACUGCUCUGUAUAAAUCUUACUGAUUCAUAAACUUUGAACAGUUGUAUACACGA